GAGGAAUAAGCAUCGGCUAACUCCGUGCCAGCAGCCGCGGUAAUACGGGGGAUGCAAGCGUUAUCCGGAAUCAUUGGGCGUAAAGCGCCUGUAGGUUGUUUAAUAAGUCUGUUGUUAAAGACUAGGGCUCAACCCUAGAAAAGCAAUGGAAACUACUAGACUAGAGUAUGGCAGGGGUAGAGGGAAUUUCUAGUGUAGCGGUGAAAUGCGUAGAUAUUAGAAAGAACACCGGUGGCGAAAGCGCUCUACUGGACCAUUACUGACACUCAGAGGCGAAAGCUAGGGUAGCAAAAGGGAUUAGAUACCCCUGUAGUCCUAGCCGUAAACGAUGGAUACUAGAUGUUGUGAUUUAUUUACAGUGUCCUAGCUAACGCGUUAAGUAUCCCGCCUGGGGAGUACGCUCGCAAGGGUGAAACUCAAAGGAAUUGACGGGGGCCCGCACAAGCGGUGGAGCAUGUGGUUUAAUUCGAUGCAACGCGAAGAACCUUACCAGGGCUUGACAUACUACAGAUUCUUUAGAGAUAGAGAAGUGCCUUCGGGAAUGUAGAUACAGGUGGUGCAUGGCUGUCGUCAGCUCGUGUCGUGAGAUGUUGGGUUAAGUCCCGCAACGAGCGCAACCCUUAUUUUUAGUUACUAAUUCGUUAGGUUCUCUAGAAAGACUGCCGGUGACAAACCGGAGGAAGGUGAGGAUGACGUCAAGUCAGCAUGCCCCUUAUGCCCUGGGCUACACACGUGCUACAAUGGUUAAGACAAAGAGUCGCGAGCUCGCGAGAGUCAGCUAAUCUCAUAAACUUAGCCUAAGUUCAGAUUGUAGGCUGCAACUCGCCUGCGUGAAG
rnacentral:rRNA from 1 species